GGCUUCUUGGUCUAGUGGUAUGAUUCCUGCUUUGGGCUCAUAAAGUCAAUGCAGGAGGUCACCGGUUCGAGCCCGGUAGAAGCCC